CUCGAGUGUGAGCGAGUGGAACUGGUGGUGGACGCUGUGAGAUGUUCUCCUGCACGCCGACAUCCCGGACUGCUAUUUCUGCUUCACUUACCGUGUCUGCUCAGCUCUUCCUCACUAUAACGUUUCUUUGUUGAAUAUGCAAACUGGAAGAGUCAAUGCGGCACAAUGUCUUGCUUUUUGUAAUUGGAGGGUACAGAUGGAGGAGUUUCAGUGUAAAGACCUUAAUGUCAACGUGACCCUUCUGAUGGUAUCUCCGUAUUAGUGCCAUGCGGCUGCUGAGUGCUGCCCAGCCAAAGAAUUUCCGCUGACAUCGUGCCAGUCACGAGUCCUUAUUUCCUUAUUUAUACUUCUGGCAGACUACGGAGAAAAAAAAAAAAAGAGUAACCGCCAUUCUGUCUCAAGUGAAGUCGACCAGCUCACUUCAGCAAAUCUGAAAACAAACCACCCAGCCGCUCCAGGGAAGCUCAGCCUGCCCAGGAACAGUGAAAAGUGGAGCGCAAAGACAUUCCGGGACGGCAGAGGCAGACACAUGAGGGACACACUUAAAAAAUGACCUGCUGGGGAUGUUCACUUUACUCAGACCUAUAGAUGAAGAAUGGGCAGGAGAAUUAGCUGCAUCCUUCAUCAUUCCUUUAUCACUAAUAUGUUACAGGAUAUUCUGUAGCAAAGGAGCCAUAUAAAGUAAACAUGAAUGUAGUAAUAAUGUCUUGUGGUUAUAAUUAUCAUGAAAGCAGCUAAUAUAAACCUGGAGAAAUGGAAUAAAGUUCUGACAGUGUCCGCUGUUCAUCUGAAUAAAGAAGAAUUAAUAGCUAAGGGUUUUUAACAGUGCUACAGGUGGAAAAUCAGUUAAUCUGGUGCCUCUUAUCUAAUUAUCUAUUAUAUAGUGCCUUUCACAUCUAUCUAUCAAUCAAUCAUAUAGUGCCUUUCAUAUCUAUCUA